AUUGAACGCUGGCGGCGGGCCUAACACAUGCAAGUCGAGCGGAUGAAGGGAGCUUGCUCCUGGAUUCAGCGGCGGACGGGUGAGUAAUGCCUAGGAAUCUGCCUGGUAGUGGGGGAUAACGUCCGGAAACGGGCGCUAAUACCGCAUACGUCCUGAGGGAGCAAGUGGGGGGUCUUCGGACCUCACCCUAUCAGAUGAGCCUAGGUCGGAUUAGCUAGUUGGUGGGGUAAAGGCCUACCAAGGCGACGAUCCGUAACUGGUCUGAGAGGAUGAUCAGGCACACUGGAACUGAGACACGGUCCAGACUCCUACGGGAGGCAACAGUGGGGAAUAUUGGGCGAUGGGCGAAAGCCUAAUCCAGCCAUGCCGCGUGUAUGAAGAAGGUCUUCGGAUUGUAAAGCACUUUAAGUUGGGAGGAAGGGCAGUAAGUUAAUACCUUGCUGUUUUGACGUUACCAACAGAAUAAGCACCGGCUAACUACGUG
rnacentral:rRNA from 1 species